UGCUAAUGUCAAUCAUUUUUUAAUUUAUACAAAUAGCAGUUUCAUAUGGUUUUUACCCAAUAUCUACCCCAUAAGGCUGUUAUGAUGAUCAUGUGAGAUUAUAGCUUUAUUUGGAUUUUCUCCCAUCAACAAGAUUUUCUUAUUUAUUCUACAGUUAAUAUAAACUUGGGUAGAAAAAUGGAAUCUGCAUCUGUGGAGAGCAUUAUAUCUGAACAAUCAGCAGGUCAUUAGCGUACCGUACAAAUCACCUUGGACUCAGGAUGGAACCCUGGGGACCUGGAGCCGCAAUAGACUGGAGAGAAGACAUGGUGUUGCUGACAGUUACCUCUGA
rnacentral:lncRNA from 1 species